GUACCUAAAGAUUAAGAGAGUCCAAGGCCAGAUGGGACCAUUGUGAUCAGCUAGGCUGACCUCCUGUAUCAUGCAGGCCAGAGACCUGCCCCAAACAAUUCCUGGAGCAGAGCUUUUAGCAAAACAGCCAGUCUCAAUUUACAAAUU